AGAGGAAAUGUGACGGCCCAGAUGGGAAACCUGGUAGAUUUCAUGGUGCGGUGUCUCAUUCCAUGACAUCAUGACUACAGUUCUUUAUCAGUUUCCCUGAAAAUAAAUCAGCAAUUCCUUUUUAAAGAGGAUCUUUUCUGGAACUGGACCCUGCUGGCCUUUCUCUCAUCCAAAACUAGUCUCUUAAAAUUGUUCCACAGGUUUCCCAGAGACUAUGGGUUGAGGAGGAAUUGGAAGUUUAGUCGGCUUAGACCUGGUGUCAUUCCAUCAGUGUUAAACUUCCCAGCUCAUCUUGGAAGAGUACGUGCCAGAAAGACCACGACCAAGUAGCCUUGAGAUCUUAGCAGCGUCUCCCUGAGGUCCCUCUCUAUCUCCCCACACAUCCACCAACCACUGGAACACAUCUCCAAAGUUCUGCUGGGCCAGCUCAGCUUCCCCUCAGAAGAAGUGGCGCCACCUGCCAGAUGAAGGAGCCUUUUGAGAGGCAGCUGGUAUCGUGAUUGGACUGUACUUUGGUCUGUUCCAAUCCAGCUUCAGCUCCAGAGACGGCAGGCAGGACGAGUCAACGGAGGCCUGGUGGACGAAGGCAUGCAGCUGAGUACAAUCUAGAAAACAACAGAGGAGGAGUGCAGCGGCCCAGGACCAGAACAACCAGAGUAGCAUCGUAUGUCUCUUAGAAAACAUCAUAGUAGAGCCUUUGGGAUGAAAAAAACGCCAUCAUAUACAUCGUAUAUUGUACAAAUAACAAGUCAAAGGAAAGAGACAUACAUUGUAGAAUUGUAGUAAUUGUGGGCUGACUGGCCUUGGCAAUGGUCGUCGGAAUGAGUAACACUGACCACACCUCACAGAGGUUAUAAGCUGGCAACAUCAACCACCAC
ensembl:lncRNA